AAGCUGAGGCAGCACAUACAGUAAAAUUGGAACGAUUCAGAGAAAAUUAGUAUGGCCUCUGCGCAUUUAUGACAUGCAAAUUUGUGACGCUUUCCAUAUUUUU